ACAUUCUGGCAGUUGCUGCGCUUAACAGCGUAGAGGAAAGUCCAUGCUCGCACAACCUGAGAGGGUUGUAGUGAUCGUGCCUGACUAAACAAUAAGUCAGGGCGGCCUGGUUUUAGACUGGGCUGAUGGCGGGGAACAGACCUGUGUCUAUUAGAUAUGGUCUUAUUACCCUGAAAGUGCCACAGUGACGUAGUCUGUUUGGAAACGAACAGAGUGGAACGCGGUAAACCCCUCGAGCGAGAAACCCAAACAUUGGUAGGGGCACUUUUCUGAUGGAAUUCAACAGAAGAAAAGGCAGAGAUAAUCUGCAGAUAGAUGACUGCCCCCGGAGUGCAAGGUGAAUAACCGUAGCAGCGCGAAGGGACAGAACAUGGCUUAUAUGA
rnacentral:RNase_P_RNA from 1 species